GCUAAAACCAAGAGUUGCUCUAGAAGCAUCUUUUCAGCAUUAGCAACAAUUAAUUAGGCAAGACUCAUGAAUAAAUUUAAGAAAACAACUUUCAUAAUUACUUAUUUUUAAAAUGUACCAAACGAAUUCUCAGCUUACCACCAUUCCUCUCAAGGCUCGUUAUUUCUUCGAUUUGCAUGACGACCCACCAUAUUUCAAAUGGAUAGGCUCUUCUGUCGAUCUCUUUCCACUGUCGUUUUUGCAAAACCAGAUUUUGCCUCUCCUUCUAUCUCCUCAGCCAUAACUCCCAAAUCGACUCCCAGUUGGAGUCUCUGAACACAGGCAAGAGCCUCCGCUGCAAAACAAAAGGUACAUUAUCAUUGAGAGUAGUUCUUGCUACCAAAACCAUUACAUUCGAAUCCCUAACCACAAGCCCUGAACAAGACCUAUUAUCCUUCUUGUUGUAUGCUGCAUCAAAGUUGAUUCUGGCAAAUGGACUUUUCGGUGCCUUCCAACUCUCAUUCCCCAGCAGAUUAGCAGGUAAGACUUUUUCCAACCCAUCCAGUUCUAUAAUGUAGCUUCAGACAAAAUUAGCAAUUUCUAACCCAGAUUUCUUUUGCCUUUCAUGUAUCCACUUGUUCCUUUCUGUCCACAAUACCCAAAUUGCACAUGUAAAGAUUCGACACUGACUACCAGAUAAUCCUCAUGAGGAAUCCUUGCCAACAGGAUUUUUAAAACUCUCUCAACAUCAGUUACGCAGAAGAUCCAACACUCCGGCACAUCCCGUCAUGGAGCAUACCUUUGGUAGCCCAAAUGCUCAUCCAGGAAUAUCAAUGGCUGGUCAACUUAUGGGGAACGAAUGCAACCUUUCAAAAUAGGAAUUAAAAACCAUUAAAAUCCUUGAAGAAGCAUGGUACAUUUGGUCACAUUAAGGAUAGUGCAUGAAGGAAUUUUGAUGGACUUUUAAGAGUGAAUGAAUGAUCAUUUUCGUCCAUGAACCAGUAGUUUCUAGAAGCAAGCCAUUCCCUUUUUCCCAAGCAAGGAUGUCUGCCAUUUAUUAAAGUGGAUGCAGGGAGGGGGUUGUUCGUUUUUUACGAAAGAAUCAAAAGCUUUCACACCAAGUGGCCGAUCGGUUUUGGGAAGAAAAGAUGACUUUUGAUGCACCAUUGAAUGCCACCAUCCACAAAGGAGCUGAAUACUUCUCUUGGUUAUUUCCUUAAUCAAUAAGCAUGCAUGAAACAAAUUUAUGAAAUUCUUUUGGCUGUUUGGUUAAAGAGAAGACUUUAAUAUCUUUUGUGGAUAUUCUAGAACUGCAAUAAUGACUGGUUUGUGGCCAUUCGUUUUACCCUUUAAGUUGCCUAUAUAUAUUUUGUUUAUGGCAUUGCUGUAAGGUUAGACUUUGAUGAAUUUAUAUAACUAGUUCUCUUUGUUCUUUUAAGAA